rnacentral:lncRNA from 1 species
AGCGAAUAAUCUUGGGGUCUACGAUCCAGCCCCUCUUCACGCAGACCAGAUAAAUCACAGGUUAUGUCCCAAACUGACUAGGGUCCAAGAAUCCCCCAACUGAACUGUCAAAGUAUCGAGCGAGUCAAACCCAUGUAUGCGGCUUGCCUUCCAAGGAACUCCUACCUUUCAGGAAAUAUCCUGCCUUCCAGGAGAAAGACUUGUCUUCCAAGAGCCCCAUGAAUCGAACCUGCGACCUCUGAACUGCCUGCCAUAAAGAACUCCGUCGAAAAGUUUAUUUCCUGUAAAGUUUAUUCUUCUUGAUCGAAAAUGUAAUUUUUUAAGUUCAUAUUUUGGAUCUCUGUAUUGUAUAUUUCUAUGUACUUAAAAUAUAAAUCGGAAUAUGCGCUUGAUGUUAAUCUUUGUUUUUCUAUUAUCA